UUAUCUCGCGUAUCCUAUUAUAGUAAUUCUGCAAUCCUAUAGUGAGGACCCUUUCGAGGAUGAUGUUUUCACUCUCCUACAGGACUUUUCUUUUCAGGUUACGAACGACGAAGUUCGGAAGAGCUUAUUUAUUUAUCUU